rnacentral:rRNA from 1 species
UACGUAGGGGGCGAGCGUUGUCCGGAAUCAUUGGGCGUAAAGCGCGUGUAGGCGGCUCGAUAAGUCCGGUGUGAAAUCUUGGGGCUCAACCCCAAGCCUGCACUGGAUACUGUCGAGCUUGAGUCCGGGAGGGGAGAGCGGAAUUCCACGUGUAGCGGUGAAAUGCGUAGAGAUGUGGAGGAACACCGAUGGCGAAGGCAGCCUUCUGGGCCAACACUGACGCUCAUGCACGAAAGCGUGGGGAGCAAACAGG